GUGGUGAUCAUUCCCAACGAAAACACGAACCCUUGUCAAGAUUAAUAAAUGCAACAAAGAUGGGGUUCAAAUUGCACGACGUAUUGUUAGAUUUCGGGCAGACACAACUAACACUCGGCGAUUUGUGGACACUUAUUCCGCCUAAAGUGGCACGUAUGCACAGUUUAGAGACAUCGUCAUUAACAAAUUUCCAUCCUGGUUGGCUAAUUGAUAAGGUGGUGGAAGCAUCUUUGUGGAUGUUGACUUUGGAAUAUAAUGUUUUCGCUGCAGAUGCAUCUUUGACAACAAUAGCCAAACGUGGGGCUAGCACCCGUUUGCUGUGGUCUGGCCAAUGUUUUUCUUCUG